rnacentral:sRNA from 1 species
CAGUGCCAUUGUUUGGCCAAGCUAUAUGCAAAUAUCACAAAUUAAAAUUUUGGUUAAACAGUUAGGCUGGACCUAAUAUUUUACAAAAACCUAAGUUUUUUUUGUGGACCCAUUUUCGAUAUCUACUCACAAAUGGAAGUCAAGGGGAACAGCUUCGGUCUCAGCACUUUAAUUAUUCUUCUCGUUCCCACCUAAUUUCGCAAUUUAUUGUCCUUGACUUCUACCACGAGAAAAAAAUUAAGAAAAUGCAACGCUGCCCGUGCAGGGUUUUCUGAGCGGGAUGAAAAAAUCAGACAAAUAUCCAAGUUAUGAGUAAUUACUUUGUUGGAAGGAGGGAGAAGAGCAUAAGGAAAUUCUUAAAACUGUUAUGUAUAUAAAGGAAGAACCAUUUCUAGUUAUUUCACUUUUUGAUACUUGUCAAUUAUCUUAGUAAAAAUACAGAUCUCUAUAAAGAACCACAAAAAAAUCGACAACAAUGACAAGUAUUGACAUUAACAACUUACAAAAUACCUUUCAACAGGCUAUGAAUAUGAGCGGCUCCCCAGGCGCUGU